CUAAGGCUGCGACUGCUUUGAUAGUGUGGUACACCUGGCAUCAUCAGAUGCCGCUCCCAGCAAGCAUUGUGCGUCUCCUCCCACUCGGGGUCGCACCACUUCACCAUAUAUAUGCCCAGCAUCUGGGGUACGAGGCACACUAAGACGAAAUCGCCUACACGUCAUCAAGUAUAUGACAUAUAACAAGGUCAAAUUAAGCCUACC
rnacentral:lncRNA from 1 species